GACGAACGCUGGCGGCGUGCUUAACACAUGCAAGUCGAACGGAAAGGCCCUGCUUUUGUGGGGUGCUCGAGUGGCGAACGGGUGAGUAACACGUGAGUAACCUGCCCUUGACUUUGGGAUAACUUCAGGAAACUGGGGCUAAUACCGGAUAGGAGCUCCUGCUGCAUGGGGGGGGUUGGAAAGUUUCGGCGGUUGGGGAUGGACUCGCGGCUUAUCAGCUUGUUGGUGGGGUAGUGGCUUACCAAGGGUUUGACGGGUAGCCGGCCUGAGAGGGUGACCGGCCACAUUGGGACUGAGAUACGGCCCAGACGCCUACGGGAGGCAGCAGUGGGGAAUAUUGCACAAUGGGCGGAAGCCUGAUGCAGCAACGCCGCGUGCGGGAUGAUGGCCUUCGGGUUGUAAACCGCUUUCGCCUGUGACGAAGCGUGAGUGACGGUAAUGGGUAAAGAAGCACCGGCUAACUACGUG
rnacentral:rRNA from 1 species